UGCAAGUCGAGCGGACCGACGGGAGCUUGCUCCCUUAGGUCAGCGGCGGACGGGUGAGUAACACGUGGGUAACCUGCCUGUAAGACUGGGAUAACUCCGGGAAACCGGGGCUAAUACCGGAUGCUUGAUUGAACCACAUGGUUCAAUCAUAAAAGGUGGCUUUUAGCUACCACUUGCAGAUGGACCCGCGGCGCAUUAGCUAGUUGGUGAGGUAACGGCUCACCAAGGCGACGAUGCGUAGCCGACCUGAGAGGGUGAUCGGCCACACUGGGACUGAGACACGGCCCAGACUCCUACGGGAGGCAGCAGUAGGGAAUCUUCCGCAAUGGACGAAAGUCUGACGGAGCAACGCCGCGUGAGUGAUGAAGGUUUUCGGAUCGUAAAACUCUGUUGUUAGGGAAGAACAAGUACCGUUCGAAUAGGGCGGUACCUUGACGGUACCUAACCAGAAAGCCACGGCUAACUACGUGCCAGCAGCCGCGGUAAUACGUAGGUGGCAAGCGUUGUCCGGAAUUAUUGGGCGUAAAGCGCGCGCAGGCGGUUUCUUAAGUCUGAUGUGAAAGCCCCCGGCUCAACCGGGGAGGGUCAUUGGAAACUGGGGAACUUGAGUGCAGAAGAGGAGAGUGGAAUUCCACGUGUAGCGGUGAAAUGCGUAGAGAUGUGGAGGAACACCAGUGGCGAAGGCGACUCUCUGGUCUGUAAC
rnacentral:rRNA from 1 species